CCUACGGGAGGCAGCAGUGAGGAAUAUUGGUCAAUGGUCGGGAGACUGAACCAGCCAAGCCGCGUGAGGGAUGAAGGUACAGAGUAUCGUAAACCUCUUUUGUCAGGGAACAAAGGCGGGGACGUGUCCCCGGAUGAGUGUACCUGAAGAAAAAGCAUCGGCUAACUCCGUGCCAGCAGCCGCGGUAAUACGGAGGCUGCGAGCGUUAUCCGGAGUUAUUGGGUUUAAAGGGUACGCAGGUGGUCUGUUAAGUCAGCGGUAAAAGCCCGGGGCGCAACCCCGGCCCGCCGUUGAAACUGGCAGUCUCGAGUUGGAGAGAAGUAUGCGGAAGGCGCGGUGUAGCGGUGAAAUGCAUAGAUAUCGCGCAGAACUCCGAUUGCGAAGGCAGCAGGCCGGCUCCACACUGACGCUGAGGCACGAAAGCGUGGGUAUCGAACAGGAUUAGAUACCCUUGUAGUC
rnacentral:rRNA from 1 species